UACAGAGGUCUCAAGCGUUGUUCGGAUUCAUUGGGCGUAAAGGGUGCGUAGGUGGUGAGGUAAGUCGGAUGUGAAAUCUCGGAGCUCAACUCCGAAAUGGCAUUGGAAACUACCUCGCUCGAGGAUUGGAGGGGGGACUGGAAUACUUGGUGUAGCAGUGAAAUGCGUAGAUAUCAAGUGGAACACCAGUGGCGAAGGCGAGUCCCUGGACAAUUCCUGACACUGAGGCACGAAAGCUAGGGGAGCAAACAGG
rnacentral:rRNA from 1 species